rnacentral:rRNA from 1 species
CCUACGGGUGGCAGCAGUGGGGAAUAUUGGACAAUGGGGGGAACCCUGAUCCAGCCAUGCCGCGUGUGUGAAGAAGGCCCUCGGGUUGUAAAGCACUUUCAGUGAGGAAGAACGCCUGGUGGUUAAUACCCAUCAGGAAAGACAUCACUCACAGAAGAAGCACCGGCUAACUCCGUGCCAGCAGCCGCGGUAAUACGGAGGGUGCGAGCGUUAAUCGGAAUUACUGGGCGUAAAGCGCGCGUAGGUGGCUUGAUAAGCCGGUUGUGAAAGCCCCGGGCUCAACCUGGGAACGGCAUCCGGAACUGUCAAGCUAGAGUGCAGGAGAGGAAGGUAGAAUUACCGGUGUAGCGGUGAAAUGCGUAGAGAUCGGGAGGAAUACCAGUGGCGAAGGCGGCCUUCUGGACUGACACUGACACUGAGGUGCGAAAGCGUGGGUAGCAAACAGGAUUAGAUACCCUGGUAGUC